rnacentral:lncRNA from 1 species
GGCACGAUCCCCGAUUCCGACUGCAUGGCUCCAGCUUCCCGUCCUCGCACUGUUCCAAAGUCUUUCAGAUUGUUGAAUCUGUGCGGACCAU